CACCUUUGAAGUCCUGUCUUCUGACACACAGAAAAAUGUUCUUUCUGCACUGCGGAGACUGGAAGCGGUGACGAAGUUGAGGGUGUCCCAGCAGAAGGAAUACAAAGUGAACAAAGCAGCUGUCAGCAGAACUGGUGACAUACUCUCUGGGAAAGUCCCUCUUGAGAGCCUCCACACUACACCUGACGCAAGGCUUCAGUGUCAAGUGGAAUAAAUUCAUCCUCAGUAUCAGCUCACAGCCCCCUCCCCAAUAAACUUACCCAUCUAUUCGCUACUUCUACCUCAUUGUCAUCCCUGUGGUCUCUUUAUCUUUACACAGUCAAAUCGGUACAAAUGCAGUCUGUGCUCACAGGCAAAAUACUUAAUCCUUGAUGCCGGCCAGACUUAAUCUACUGAAUGGUGGCUACCUCUCUGUCCUUUACAGACCUGAGAAGACUGAGAUGAAGCUAAACGCCCUGCAGGAUAAAUGCUGGUAAUAUAAAGGUGGCCUAUUACUGAUUUUGUUUCACU